AGAGCGAACGCUGGCGGCAGGCCUAAUACAUGCAAGUCGAACGGACCCUUCGGGGUUAGUGGCGGACGGGUGAGUAACACGUGGGAACGUGCCCUUUGGUUCGGAACAACUCAGGGAAACUUGAGCUAAUACCGAAUGUGCCCUUCGGGGGAAAGAUUUAUCGCCAUUGGAGCGGCCCGCGUCUGAUUAGCUAGUUGGUGAGGUAAAGGCUCACCAAGGCUACGAUCAGUAGCUGGUCUGAGAGGAUGAUCAGCCACACUGGGACUGAGACACGGCCCAGACUCCUACGGGAGGCAGCAGUAGGGAAUCUUGCGCAAUGGGCGAAAGCCUGACGCAGCCAUGCCGCGUGAAUGAUGAAGGUCUUAGGAUUGUAAAAUUCUUUCAGCGGGGACGAUAAUGACGGUACCGCAGAAGAAGCCCCGGCUAACUUCGCGCCAGCAGCCGC
rnacentral:rRNA from 1 species